GUAUCUUGGCCAGGGGAAAACCAUUUAGAGGGUUGCCUGCUGGGAGAUUGCAGUAAAACUAUUUGCUAUAAUAUUUAAAUUGAGAUUAGCCAUUUGUGCUCCGAGAGUCCGCAAAUCGAUUCGAAGUUAUACCUAUAACUAAAAUAAUGUUCCUAGUCCUGAGGUAUCGAAUAGGACAUGUUCUUAUGCUUCUAAAAGUUUUCCAAUCGCUGGGUUUAUGACUUGAAUUACUUUUCCUCUUUGCCGGACAUCAUCAGAUGGUACUGCAGGAGCAACGUUGAGUUGCCUAAGAUACAUGCCAUCAUGUUAAGCCAAUGUUUUCGAUUGGCUGGGAAGAGACCGCAAAUCUUCAAAUGAACUAAGCUGAAGUAUCGAAUAGGACGUGUCACAGCGCCAAAGUUCAACUGACUUUCUUUUGCUGUGAUGGUACUGCAGGAGCAGUAUGGAGUUGCCUAGGAUAAAGCCCAUCAUGUCAAGCCACUGUUUCCGAUUGGAUGGGAACAGACCGCAAAUCUUCAAAUUAACAUUCAUGCUGUUUUGGUUGUCUGGAUGAGUGCUUUGAAGUACCUCGUUGGACAUGACGCCCUCGCUAGCCGUGUCCUUUGACAUGCUCUGAUACUGAGUCACCAAAU